rfam:Ardenticatena maritima DNA, contig: NODE_104, strain: 110S.
GGGCGCGUGGUGCAGCGGUUAGCACACCGGCCUGUCAAGCCGGAGGUCGCGGGUUCGAACCCCGUCGCGCCCG